rnacentral:rRNA from 1 species
CCCUUAGAUGUCCUGGGCUGCACGAGCGCUACACUGAUGUGUCCAGUAAGCACCUAACCUCUUCCGAAAGGAACGGGUAACCUUUGCAAAGCACAUCGUGAUGGGGAUAGAUUAUUGCAAUUAUUAGUCUUGAACGAGGAAUUCCUAGUAAGCACAAGUCAUCAGCUUGUGUUGAUUACGUCCCUGCCCUUUGUACACACCGCCCGUCGCUCCUACCGAUUGAAUGUUCCGGUGAGCUCUUCGGACUGCGCGGUCUGCAGUUUCUGCGUUCCGUGCGGAAAGUUGCGCAAACCUUAACAUUUAGAGGAAGGAGAAGUCGUAACA